rnacentral:rRNA from 1 species
CCUACGGGUGGCAGCAGUCGAGAAUUAUUCACAAUGGGGGAAACCCUGAUGGUGCGACGCCGCGUGGGGGAAUGAAGGUCUUCGGAUUGUAAACCCCUGUCAUGUGGGAGCAAAUUAAAAAGAUAGUACCACAAGAGGAAGAGACGGCUAACUCUGUGCCAGCAGCCGCGGUAAUACAGAGGUCUCAAGCGUUGUUCGGAAUCACUGGGCGUAAAGCGUGCGUAGGCUGUUUCGUAAGUCGUGUGUGAAAGGCGCGGGCUCAACCCGCGGACGGCACAUGAUACUGCGAGACUAGAGUAAGGGAGGGGGAACCGGAAUUCGCGGUGUAGCAGUGAAAUGCGUAGAUAUCGAGAGGAACACUCGUGGCGAAGGCGGGUUCCUGGACAGUAACUGACGCUGAGGCACGAAGGCCAGGGGAGCGAAAGGGAUUAGAUACCCGUGUAGUC